rnacentral:rRNA from 1 species
UACGAAGGGGGCUAGCGUUGCUCGGAAUCACUGGGCGUAAAGGGUGCGUAGGCGGGUCUUUUAAGUCAGGGGUGAAAUCCUGGAGCUCAAUUCCAGAACUGCCUUUGAUACUGAGGAUCUUGAGUUCGGGAGAGGUGAGUGGAACUGUGAGUGUAGAGGUGAAAUUCGUAGAUAUUCGCAAGAACACCAGUGGCGAAGGCGGCUCACUGGCCCGAUACUGACGCUGAGGUGCGAAAGCGUGGGGAGCAAACAGG